CAGUCGCCGCGGUAAUACGAGGGGGGCAAGCGUUGUUCGGAAUUAUUGGGCGUAAAGGGUGCGUAGGCGGUUUCGUAAGUCUUAUGUGAAAUCUAUGGGCUCAACCCAUAGUCUGCAUGGGAAACUGCGAGGCUUGAGGAUGGGAGAGGUGAGUGGAAUUUCCGGUGUAGCGGUGAAAUGCGUAGAUAUCGGAAGGAACACCUGUGGCGAAAGCGGCUCACUGGACCAUUUCUGACGCUGAUGCACGAAAGCUAGGGGAGUAAACAGGAUUAGAUACCCGCGUAGUCCCUGUCUCUUAUAC
rnacentral:rRNA from 1 species